rnacentral:rRNA from 1 species
GGCGUAAGCGCACGCAGGCGGUCUGUCAAGUCGGAUGUGAAAUCCCCGGGCUCAACCUGGGAACUGCAUUCGAAACUGGCAGGCUAGAGUCUUGUAGAGGGGGGUAGAAUUCCAGGUGUAGCGGUGAAAUGCGUAGAGAUCUGGAGGAAUACCGGUGGCGAAGGCGGCCCCCUGGACAAAGACUGACGCUCAGGUGCGAAAGCGUGGGGAGCAAACAGGAUUAGAUACCCUGGUAGUCCACGCCGUAAACGAUGUCGACUUGGAGGUUGUUCCCUUGAGGAGUGGCUUCCGGAGCUAACGCGUUAAGUCGACCGCCUGGGGAGUACGGCCGCAAGGUUAAAACUCAAAUGAAUUGACGGGGGCCCGCACAAGCGGUGGAGCAUGUGGUUUAAUUCGAUGCAACGCGAAGAACCUUACCUACUCUUGACAUCCAGAGAACUUAGCAGAGAUGCUUUGGUGCCUUCGGGAACUCUGAGACAGGUGCUGCAUGGCUGUCGUCAGCUCGUGUUGUGAAAUGUUGGGUUAAGUCCCGCAACGAGCGCAACCCUUAUCCUUUGUUGCCAGCGGUUCGGCCGGGAACUCAAAGGAGACUGCCAGUGAUAAACUAGAGGA